GUUGUUGGUGAUGUGAGGCAGCUUAGCGAUGACCAGGUCGACCUUCUGCUGGGCUUCUCCGGCCGGGUUGGAGGCCACGCAGGUGUACUAUUCUUGUCUGGAAUGAUAGCAAGGAAGCUAUAAGGCGGGGGGCGGCAUCUCAAAUGCAAUUUCAGAGGCAACUGCAAUUUCUCUGCUUGGACUGGAUGUCAAGAUCUCAACCCGUGUGGGUUUGCGUGUGUGUGUGCAUCACACUAAGACGACCCUGUUGAAUCAAGAGAAGUACUGUUCAUCAGCAUCUACAAGUCUCCCCUGCCAUUUUGCAAGUGUUUUCCUUCGCGCGGCAUCAGAGCGGGAAGCAAAAGUCAGGAUAGGAUGGAGUGCUGCAUGCAAGUACACACCUCACGUCAAUUACACACCACCCUUACCCCAUCACGAGAGUUGAUUGACAUCUAUGGGGAGAUUUCCUUUUACCUUGC